ACCUAGAGAGGACCACUACAAGCCUAUACUCUAUUAUAUUUUUGUGUGGCAUGCACUUACAACAAUUGAACUCUAGAACUUGCUUAGUUUUUUUCAAAGUCACAAUAGCAUAUGUAUGCGUGGUAAUGAAGGAUUUUGUCAUUCUUGUGCCAUCCUAAUUUCCAUUUCUUUCUCCACAAUUUUCUUGAAAACAUCAUUAGCAUUCUAAUUCUUGAAUCUCUUUGCUUGUCAUUUUUCUUUUAUUGAGAGUUUUGGAUUAAUUGCUUGAUGAGUUAGCUUCACUAGAUGAAUGAAGGAUUAAGUGUGGGGGAGGAUUGGCAUAAAAUCAGAGAUCUAAAGACUUUGGAGGGUUUUAUGAGCAUGAAAUUCCAUUCUUGAAGCAUGUUCUGUGCUUGCCCCUAUGAAAUUUAGUGAUUUUAUUGAUAAUGUGGAUGGGGAAUCAAUUGUUAUGGUCAUUUGGAGUUUCUUUUUCUUUUCUGGUCCAAUUUUCUAGAAUUCUUAUCAAACUCAGAUUAUGCUAAUUGUCCAUGAACAGAAGAUAUUUAACUCAGCUUGAAGGCUUUAUUGGAUUCUUUUGGUGAUUUCGAAGGAAUGGACUGAUCGGACAUUGUUAGAAAAAAUCAGAAAUAAGAAACUUGCAAGAAUUUAUAGAAAUAAAAAAAAAAUCUGCAGGACUGAAUUCAAUGAUGUUGUAUCAAUCUGAAAUUUGAUCUUUGGAAGUAUGCAACUUUCUAAUAACUCUUGUUGCUUACUUGAGAAAACUGAUUGCUUUAAGGGAGCUUAGAAUACAAGAUAUUGGUUGAUACUUGCAUUCCUUAAGUCCUGAAACCAAGGUAUAGGAGUUGCUUAAUUCUGAUAUUUGUCUAGCCAGUCGACUUAUACAAUAUGGGAAAGAGAAUCUUAGCUAAGUUGAACUCUGCAUUGCUUUAGCUGAAUCACCUUAAAUUCCAAUUGCUGAAACUGAAUCUGGAAAACCAGAAUUUAGCAUUGAGACCAGAUAUUGUUAAUUCUCUAGUCAAAGGAGAAGCUUGUGAAAUUUAGUGAAUUAGAUGCCACCACUGACUUCUGUUUAGAUUGUUAUAAAUUUGGAAUUGCUAAAUGUAGCAGCUUGAAAUUUAUUGCAUGAUUUGAAUUCUAAUUUUGAGUUUAUGUAAUGUCAAGUGUGUGUCGAGCUCUUCCUGAAAUUCUCUAAUCAAUGAAGGGGUCAAGCAAAGCUAGAUUUAUGUAAACUGAAUGCAUUUACAAGCUGUUGACAUACAGAAUUAGAACUUGCAGAAAUCUACAGAAAUGAAAAAUCUGCAGGAAUAAAUUUGAAGAUGAGGUUCAAGUAAGCCCAGUUUUGUAAUGUCAUAUUGAUGUUCAUCCAAUCCAUGAAGCCAUUCCAGAUUGUAUCAAAAGUUUGGAAAGGAAGAAGAAAGAGAUUUCAAGAACUUUAUAUUGAAUUUUGAUAUGAAGAAAAGAACCAUUGUUUAAAAUCUGUAUCAAAACUGAAUGCAUUGCACUCUCACUCAGAAGCUUCAAAGCUAGAUAGUCUUUGGAUUCAGAAACUGAUAGGAGAUUGAACUUGCUGGAAUUUUGAUGAAUCAGAUGUUCAAGUGUUAGUGCCAAGCCUUUGCUGUUCUGUACCAAUGUCAGCCAAUGGUUGAACCGAUUGAAAUAUAUAUAUUAGAAUCAAGAAGAAGAAAUGCAGGAUGAGUUGCUGUGUUGUGCUGAAUUCUGCAGAAAUAAACACUACAACUAUGGAGCAAUGGAAGAUUGAAGGAAUGCUAAUGAAUAUGACUGCCUCUGAAUUUUGCUCAUGUCAAUGAAAGACUUGUUUAGAGUAGGCUGCAGAAGCAUGAAUCUGUAUAAAAGAAGAAAUAUGUUGCUGAAAUCUGAUUGUGUAUCGAGUUUGUAUCAAGAUUCAAGAGUAGUAGUUUAAUCAGAGAAUGAACCAAGUGAAGCUCUUCUGGGUGCAGAAGUAAAUGGUAUCCGAGUUCUUCCAUGAUUUCUACAAGCUGUAUAUUUUAAUAGCAAAGGGUUUCGAUUGCUGGAAAAGGAACAAGUAAAGGGGAAAUUUAGAAACUGUGAAGCUGAAAAGUGAACUGCAGCAGCUGGAGAACAGAAUUCAGAUUGGAGAAUUGUAUCAAGUAUGUGUCAAUCUUCUAUCGCCAGCUUCCAAAAUAGUGAGGAAACAUUGAGAGGUUUUUGCUUUCAUAGUGACAAAUGGAGUUGAAAUGCUUAUCAUGUCUUUACAAACUUUGUUAAACAGCAUGUUGAAAUUAUCAAAAUGCUGAAAUGGAAAUCUAGAAAAAUUGUAAGCUUGAGGCUGCUGUUGGAGUUCAUUGGUGUACCAAUUUUCUUGAACCAGAUUCCUACUGCAAGCUUAGCUUCUGAUUUAAAGGAAUGAAAGAAAUAGAAAUGAAAUCCGGGUUAUGUUUUGCUGGAAAUGGAGUUUUGACUGCUGAAUCAAACUAUUGGAUUGGAAUCUGGAAAUAACCUGUUUGCUGAGAUUUGAGUUGAAAAAAAAAAUGUGCUGAAAGGUUAUGUUUGUGUAGUACAGUGAGUCCUUACUGGAUUUCAAGCCAGAAGUGAAUUCCAGUUCUCAGGUGAGAUCAAAUGUAGAAAAGAAAUAAUAUUAAGUAUGAAGCUGGAAUCUCUACAGGUGAGAUCAAAUUUCAUCAAGGAUUACUGGAAGCGAUAAGUGGGUUGGUAUUCUUUUCAAGUUUCUUGUGACCAUAAUCUGGAAUCUGGUUUUCUGAAAUCUGGUAUUCAAAGGAGGAUGUUGCUGGUUUGAGAUAUUUUCUGUAGCUAAUAAAAGUUAUGAAUGAAUAUAUCAAUUGUAGUAUGAUGCAUGCCAAUUCUUGUUACGAGUUUCUGAUGAUUAAGGAGUCGAAGUGAAUCAUGGAUGGAUGCAAAUUCAAUGGAACUGAUUUGCUGGAACUGUUCAGUAUCAUUGCAGUGCAAGAAAUUAGAGUUCUAAAAUCGAAUCCCUUACUGGAAUAUAGAAUGAAACCAAUGUAUUAACAAGUACAUGUUUAGUGCCAAACUUCUAUGUUGUUUUGAUUAGUAACAUUAUGAAUUCCAUCACUUUUCAGUCUGGGCAAGAAUUGAUAUUCUGAAAUGCUGACUGGCACUAAAUUCUGAAGUUACAAAUGCUGAAAUGCUUAAGCAGUUGGGAUUCGUAUCAAGUUAAUCAGAUUUUGGAAGAGCAAAAGAUGUGAUUGAAACUUGACAGAACUAUUUGGUACCAAAUAAUGGUUAUAUGGAGACUGAUCCAACUAGGUUUUGAACAGCAGUAACUUGGAUCCCAUCUCUUGAAGUUGCAGCAUUUGAUGAAAGUUUAUGCUAAGCCGAAUUCUUCAAUAAAAAAAGCUGAAAUCACUUUAGGCUCUGAAUUUUGAAACUUAAUAACUUUGCAAAAUGGCACAGUGAGUUAGUUCUGCAGAACCAAUAAUCUGGAACUAAGUAUAAGCAAAUGUACUGAAAGAAGUAAUAGAGAAGCUGAUUAGAAUUAGAUUGUUGUUCAGUAUUUAGAAAGGAAUAACCAAAACAACAUUAUGUGGCAAUGUUUGUCUCAAAAAGCUGAAAUGAUACAAUCUGGACAAUAAUUAAACUGCACUGAUUUGAGUUUCUGAAACUGAGUUUCCAAAGAGCUGAUAGCUGUGCCAAUGAUUCUCUGAAAAUUUCAGCAGAUAGCUGCAAAGUAGUGAGAAGGAAUUCGAUGUGGCUGUGGAAUUCUAGAUAGGAAAUUGAUAUAGAAAAUGGUUGCUGAUUGGAAUCAAUGAACUUUAUUUUGAAGCUGCAGAUUGAAGCAACAAUUCAUAGAUACUAGCACCAAUUUUAAGGAAAUCUGAACUAUUGUUGCUGCAGUGGAUUGAAUUUCUUGUUAUUGUUGUUUCUGAUUCUUUGAUCAGUAAAAAAAAUCUGUUGCAGAAUUCAGUUGCUGUUUUUACUCAGAAUUUAAUAAUUGCAGGACAGAAUUGAGAAUUGUUAGAACUACUGAAAAGGAACUGUGAGCUGCUGAAAUGUAGUUCAUCAGAGAAGAAGAGCUCAAGAGAGGUAAACUAAAACUGGAUUCCUUGGAAGUCCAGAAAGCCGAUAUUUGAUGUUGUUGAGAAGAUAUUUAGAAUCUAAGGUAUCUCUUUAAGUUGCUGAUUUCAGAUGUUGCUGGAAAUCAUUGCCACAGCAGGGUAUAAUUCAAGGGUUGCUAAUUGAGAAUUCAAUCAGAUUUUUACAUAACUGCAGAGGAAGAAAUAAGAAUCUAUGAUACUCUAGUGCAGGAAUUGAGAAGUUUAACUUCAUUUCUUAAUUGAAGAGCUGUUGGUUAAGAAUCUGACUUUAAAUAGGGAAGAUGGUUACUGCAGUUAGUAAAAAUCUGAAAAUCUGUAAGUUGCAGAAAUAGAAUUGAAUUGCUGGUUUAGAGCUAUGUGAUUGAAGUUGAAUUUUGUGAACAAGGCUGUUGUGCUGAUUGUUGUAAAGUUUUAAUCAUUCCAGAGCUUAAUAAGACCCUGUGCCAAGCUUUUGACACUGAUUUCUGAUCAGUUUUAUAUUCUUAUUUGAUAUUUCUUCUUUUCCGAGCUUAUCAUGGAUCAUAAUAUGUAACUUCAAUGGAUUGGUUUUCUGAAAUUAUUCAGUCUAUAAGAAAUCAGGGAAGUAUGCUUGUUAAGAAAGGUGGUAUUGGAGAUGUUUUAUUGCAACAUAUUCAGGAAAAUAUAUUACGAUACAGUGGGUGCAAAAUGAAGAAUGAAAAAGAGAACAUUGGCUAGAAAUGCAACAUUUGUUCUAUUGUCCGAGACGGUCAAUAUUGUAAGUGUGGGGGAGGGAGUUCUUCUUCAUAAUUGAUGUGAGAUUGUUGCUGGAAUUGUUGCUGGAAUUGAAGUGUGAAAGCUGAAAUUGAAGUGGAAAAACAGUGAAGUAAGAAAAAAAACAGUGACAAGAAAAGAGUAUCAAGAAUUGUAAAGAUAGAGUAUCAAGAAUUUUGGAUGACCAUCAAAUUGAAGGGGAGGUUAGCUUGAUACUUUGAAUUGGUAACAACAAAUGCCAUCAAAAGGGUCAUAGACCCGAUCAGAUCAGACUACACUUGGGCUCAAAUCUAGGGCUAAACGAAGCGAUCAAGCUCCAGAAUAAUCGUAGUCGUCCAUUGAAGAUCUGAGAGAUCUGGGCCAUCCAUCAAGGAUCUGGUCCAUCCGACCUAAUGAGGAGCAGAUCUCGUCCGCUGAUGAAGAUCCAGAGGUUUUGAUCCAAAUCUGAGUUCAUCUAGCCGUUAAUCAAGCCCCGAGCAAUCUGGACCUUCCAAUCAGUUAUGAGGAGGAUUUAAACCCCGCGAGAAGCUACAGUGCACUUGAGCUAGGUUCCUCGUGAUUUUGCUACAGUGUUUUCUUCUUCGCCACGACACCGAAGCUUCCAUUCUUCAUCUCCAGAUCUCAGAUUUCGACCCAGUCUUCAACAGCGAAUUCGUGGUCUCUAGGCAAUCAGCUAAUGAAGAGCAGAUCGCGAUCCGUGGGCGUUCCCUAGAUCUGCGAUGAUUUCUUCCUCGAUCCGUUUCCUCCUCAGAUUCAAGGGCGUUCUCUAGAUCUGAGGCUUUCUGGCGUUUACGGAGGCUAGCUGGAGUUCUCCUGAAGCUUCCGCAAUCGUUCCGCUUCCACAUAAGCUCGCAUCUCUGAGAUUGAACUGAUCAUUCUAUUCUGAGCUGCGAUUUUCAUUUCUUCCUCUAUUCUUAACGCAACAAGAUCGCGAGCCAUAAGGGCAUUCUCUGCGGCUCAGCAAUGCUGAUAUCCACUGGCUGAAGGUUCCUGAUGCAGCUGUUGAGAGCAGAAGGGCGUUCUCUGCUCCUUUGCAGAUCAGCGAAGAGAAAGGAUUGGAUCUAUGAAUUGGAGUUUGUGGAAUGCUUUAGGGUUUAGAUUUCUUUGUUUUAGUAUUUGAAUUGUGCUCGACUUACUCAAAUCAUCAGAUCUGAUUCAUUUUCCUUACCAUUUCUUCGUAUUUCAGAUAGCUGCAAUUCCAUUUCUGUUUUUCUUUGCUGCAAUCCCAGUCAUGUUUAGUUUUUAACCGAGUUUGCAAUCUGACUUUUGAUUUGAAUUUGGAAUUUCUGUUAAUACAAAUAUGUGUUUAGCUUUUA